rnacentral:rRNA from 1 species
UACGGAGGGUGCGAGCGUUGUUCGGAAUCACUGGGCGUAAAGCGCGUGUAGGCGGCCCAUUAAGUCUGAUGUGAAAGCCCGGGGCUCACCCCCGGAAGUGCAUUGGAAACUGAUGGACUCGAGUCCCGGAGAGGAGAGUGGAAUUCCUGGUGUAGCGGUGAAAUGCGUAGAUAUCAGGAGGAACACCGAUGGCGAAGGCAGCUGCCUGGCCUAGAACUGACGCUGAGGUGCGAAAGCGUGGGGAGCGAACAGG